CUGGGGCCAGUGAGUCAUCUCUGUAAUAUAUACUCCACACUCACUAACACAUCGAUGCAGCAUGAGGCACUGUGCUAGGAACUCUAGGCAUAUGUGGUCCUGUCAGAGAACUGAACCUGCACACAGUUAUAAUAAAAGUCAGCCCAUGAGCAAGGCUUGGGGCCACAAUUUUCAGGCCCAAAGAAACACGAUCAGUCAGCUUAGGAAGGAAAGUCAGAGAGGGGAAGGGGCACCCCCAUCACAUGCAGUGAGAAGAAAGGCCACGGAAGCAUGUCUGGGCCUGUGUGACUGGAUGCCCGGGGUCAUCACGCUCCUCUUUCCUGGGCUCUCGAGACUGGUGCUGGCCCCAGGCCCACCCUCAGUUCCAGACCUGGCUUAUUUUCCUGGCACCUGGAAGAUUCUACAUAUCCCUCCUUAUGCACCAGUCACUUUGGUUACCCAAUGGCCUACAGACAUUUACUUUAAAUAACUACUCAUAUUUUUAAAUAACUGAGCUUUUCAUUGAAAAGUAAUAACAUGCACACAGUAAAAAAGAAAAAAAAAAAAAUCAAACAGUACAAUAGAUAUGUGGUUAAAAGUGAGUCUCUUGUUUACCCCAGUCCCCCAGCCUUACUUCUCAGCGACAACCACCAGCUUCUGGUAUCUCCUAUAGAUGUCUGCACAUAUGUGGGCGUAUGAAUAUAUACACAUCCCUUUACACAGAUAAUGGUCUGUUAGACACCUUGCUCUAUACCUUGCUGCUUCCACCUAAAAAUCUCUCUUGAAGAUAAGGUUAAUCCUUGACCCGAUGGGCUCAGACCACCUCCUGUGAUCCUUGCAAAAACAAUAUGUACACCACAUGCCAGGUGUGGCAAGGGGACUCACCAUCUGUCCCUCUGCCUGGAAUGUGAUUCUGCAACUGGAUAACUAUCUCCUAUGCUCAGGUUUCAGUGAAAAUGUCAUCAUAAAGCUGAGUCUUCUCAGAUUCCCUUAUUUAAGAAAUACCUGCUUCUCCUACUCAGGUAUAUUCUUCUCUCUCUAAACCUGUGUGUUUUCUUUACACUUAAGAGCACAUCCUGCCACUUUAUUUGCCUAUUGCUUCGCCAUCAGCCUUGUUCUGUGAAACAGCAGCUUCAUGGAGGCCAAGGCUACCACUGUCUUGGUC
ensembl:lncRNA